rnacentral:rRNA from 1 species
GGCCGCGGGAAUUCGAUUGGAUCGCCCUUAGAGUUUGAUCAUGGCUCAGAACAAACGCUGGCGGCGUGCCUAACACAUGCAAGUCGUACGAGAAAGUCCGCUUCGGUGGAUGAGUAAAGUGGCGCACGGGUGAGUAACGCGUGGAUAAUCUACCCUUUAGUCUGGAAUAACUUAUCGAAAGGUGAACUAAUACCGGAUAAUAUCCCGAUUUCUUCGGCGAUCGGGGUCAAAGAAGGCCUCUGCUUGCAAGCUUUCACUGAAGGAUGAGUCCGCGUACCAUUAGCUAGUUGGCAGGGUAAUGGCCUACCAAGGUUAUGAUGGUUAGCUGGUCUGAGAGGAUGAUCAGCCACACUGGAACUGAAACACGGUCCAGACUCCUACGGGAGGCAGCAGUGAGGAAUAUUGCGCAAUGGGGGCAACCCUGACGCAGCAACGCCGCGUGAGUGAGGAAGGUUUUCGGAUUGUAAAGCUCUGUCGAGCGGAAAGAAGUGCAUGGUGGUUAAUAUCCAUCAUGCUUGACGGUACCGCUAAAGGAAGCACCGGCUAACUCCGUGCCAGCAGCCGCGGUAAUACGGGGGGUGCAAGCGUUGUUCGGAAUCAUUGGGCGUAAAGCGCGUGUAGGCGGCUGGACAAGUCAGAUGUGAAAGCCCUGGGCUUAACCCGGGAAGUGCAUUUGAAACUGUUCAGCUAGAGUAAGGGAGAGGAAAGUGGAAUUCCUGGUGUAGAGGUGAAAUUCGUAGAUAUCAGGAGGAACACCGGUGGCGAAGC